GAUGAACGGCUGGCGGCGUGCCUAACACAUGCAAGUCGAACGAAGCGAUCGAGAUGAAGUUUUCGGAUGAAUUCGAGAUUGACUGAGUGGCGGACGGGUGAGUAACGCGUGGGUAACCUGCCUCAUACAGGGGGAUAACAGUUAGAAAUGACUGCUAAUACCGCAUAAGCGCACAGUACCGCAUGGUACAGUGUGAAAAACUCCGGUGGUAUGAGAUGGACCUGCGUCUGAUUAGCUAGUUGGGUGAGGUAACGGCCCACCAAGGCGACGAUCAGUAGCCGACCUGAGAGGGUGACCGGCCACAUUGGGACUGAGACACGGCCCAA
rnacentral:rRNA from 1 species